GGUGCCUUCGGGAACUCUGAGACAGGUGCUGCAUGGCUGUCGUCAGCUCGUGUUGUGAAAUGUUGGGUUAAGUCCCGCAACGAGCGCAACCCUUAUCCUUUGUUGCCAGCGGUCCGGCCGGGAACUCAAAGGAGACUGCCAGUGAUAAACUGGAGGAAGGUGGGGAUGACGUCAAGUCAUCAUGGCCCUUACGAGUAGGGCUACACACGUGCUACAAUGGCAUAUACAA
rnacentral:rRNA from 1 species